AUUGAACGCUGGCGGCAGGCUUAACACAUGCAAGUCGAGCGGAGUGGUGGUGCUUGCACUAUCACUUAGCGGCGGACGGGUGAGCAAUGCUUAGGAAUCUGCCUAUUAGUGGGGGACAACAUCUCGAAAGUGAUUCUUAUACCGCAUACGUCCUCCGGGAGCAAGCAGGGGAUCUUCGGGCCUUGCGCUAAUGGAUGAGCCUAGGUCGGAUUAGCUAGUUGGUGGGGUAAAGGCCUACCAAGGCGACGAUCUGUAGCGGGUCUGAGAGGAUGAUCCGCCACACUGGGACUGAGACACGGUCCAGACUCCUACGGGAGGCAGCAGUGGGGAAUAUUGGACAAUGGGCGGAAGCCUGAUCCAGCCAUGCCGCGUGUGUGUAGAAGGCCUUAUGGUUGUAAAGCACUUUAAGCGAGGAGGAGGCUACUUUAGUUAAUACCUAGAGAUAGUGGACGUUACUCGCAGAAUAAGCACCGGCUAACUCUGUGCCAGCCGCCGCAGUAAAAC
rnacentral:rRNA from 1 species